rnacentral:rRNA from 1 species
UACGUAGGGGGCAAGCGUUGUCCGGAUUCAUUGGGCGUAAAGAGCGUGUAGGCGGCCAGGUAGGUCGGUUGUGAAAACUGGAGGCUCAACCUUCAGAGGUCGACCGAAACCAUCUGGCUAGAGUCCGGGAGAGGAGAGUGGAAUUCCUGGUGUAGCGGUGAAAUGCGCAGAUAUCGGCAGGAACACCCAGGGGGAAACCAGCCGGCUGGGGACGUGCUGACGCUCAGGGGCGAAAGCGUGGGGAGCGAGCCGG